UACGUAGGGUGCAGGCGUUAAUCGGAAUUACUGGGCGUAAAGCGUGCGCAGGCGGUUUGCUAAGACAGGUGUGAAAUCCCCGGGCUUAACCUGGGAACUGCGCUUGUAACUAGCAGGCUAGAGUGUGGCAGAGGGGGGUGGAAUUCCACGUGUAGCAGUGAAAUGCGUAGAGAUGCGGAGGAACACCGAUGGCGAAGGCAGCCCCCUGGGCUAACACUGACGCUCAGGCACGAAAGCGUGGGGAGCAAACAGG
rnacentral:rRNA from 1 species